UACGGGGGGGGCAAGCGUUGUUCGGAAUUACUGGGCGUAAAGGGCUCGUAGGCGGCCAACUAAGUCAGACGUGAAAUCCCUCGGCUUAACCGGGGAACUGCGUCUGAUACUGGAUGGCUUGAGUGUGGGAGAGGAAUGCGGAAUUCCAGGUGUAGCGGUGAAAUGCGUAGAUAUCUGGAGGAACACCGGUGGCGAAGGCGGCAUUCUGGACCAUUACUGACGCUGAGGAGCGAAAGCCAGGGGAGCAAAUGGG
rnacentral:rRNA from 1 species